rnacentral:rRNA from 1 species
UACAGAGGUCUCGAGCGUUUGUUCGGAUUCAUUGGGCGUAAAGGGUGCGUAGGUGGCGUGGUAAGUCUGGUGUGGAAAUCCCGGGGCUCAACCCCCGGAACUGCACUGGAUACUGCCAUGCUUGAGUACUGGAGAGGAGAUUGGAAUUUACGGUGUAGCAGUGAAAUGCGUAGAUAUCGUAAGGAAGACCAGUGGCGAAGGCGAAUCUCUGGACAGUUACUGACGCUGGAGGUGCGAAAGCGUUGGGGAGCAAACAGG